rnacentral:rRNA from 1 species
AGAGUUUGAUUCUGGCUCAGGAUGAACGCCGGCGGUGUGCCUAAUACAUGCAAGUCGUACGCACUGGCCCAACUGAUUGAUGGUGCUUGCACCUGAUUGACGUUGGAUCACCAGUGAGUGGCGGACGGGUGAGUAACACGUAGGUAACCUGCCCCGGAGCGGGGGAUAACAUUUGGAAACAGAUGCUAAUACCGCAUAACAACAAAAGCCACAUGGCUUUUGUUUGAAAGAUGGCUUUGGCUAUCACUCUGGGAUGGACCCGCGGUGCAUUAGCUAGUUGGUAAGGUAACGGCUUACCAAGGCAGUGAUGCAUAGCCGAGUUGAGAGACUGAUCGGCCACAAUGGAACUGAGACACGGUCCAUACUCCUACGGGAGGCAGCAGUAGGGAAUCUUCCACAAUGGGCGCAAGCCUGAUGGAGCAACACCGCGUGAGUGAAGAAGGGUUUCGGCUCGUAAAGCUCUGUUGUUGGAGAAGAACGUGCGUGAGAGUAACUGUUCACGCAGUGACGGUAUCCAACCAGAAAGUCACGGCUAACUACGUGCCAGCAGCCGCGGUAAUACGUAGGUGGCAAGCGUUAUCCGGAUUUAUUGGGCGUAAAGCGAGCGCAGGCGGUUGCUUAGGUCUGAUGUGAAAGCCUUCGGCUUAACCGAAGAAGUGCAUCGGAAACCGGGCGACUUGAGUGCAGAAGAGGACAGUGGAACUCCAUGUGUAGAGGUGGAAUGCGUAGAUAUAUGGAAGAACACCAGUGGCGAAGGCGGCUGUCUGGUCUGCAACUGACGCUGAGGCUCGAAAGCAUGGGUAGCGAACAGGAUUAGAUACCCUGGUAGUCCAUGCCGUAAACGAUGAGUGCUAGGUGUUGGAGGGUUUCCGCCCUUCAGUGCCGGAGCUAACGCAUUAAGCACUCCGCCUGGGGAGUACGACCGCAAGGUUGAAACUCAAAGGAAUUGACGGGGGACCGCACAAGCGGUGGAGCAUGUGGUUUAAUUCGAAGCUACGCGAAGAACCUUACCAGGUCUUGACAUCUUGCGCUAAACUUAGAGAUAAGGCGUUCCCUUCGGGGACGCAAUGACAGGUGGUGCAUGGUCGUCGUCAGCUCGUGUCGUGAGAUGUUGGGUUAAGUCCCGCAACGAGCGCAACCCUUGUUACUAGUUGCCAGCAUUAAGUUGGGCACUCUAGUGAGACUGCCGGUGACAAACCGGAGGAAGGUGGGGACGACGUCAGAUCAUCAUGCCCCUUAUGACCUGGGCUACACACGUGCUACAAUGGACGGUACAACGAGUCGCAAGCUCGCGAGAGUAAGCUAAUCUCUUAAAGCCGUUCUCAGUUCGGACUGUAGGCUGCAACUCGCCUACACGAAGUCGGAAUCGCUAGUAAUCGCGGAUCAGAAUGCCGCGGUGAAUACGUUCCCGGGUCUUGUACACACCGCCCGUCA